rnacentral:lncRNA from 1 species
UUUAACGUCGUCAGCUUGACGAUUCAAACUUUAUAUGUUAGAGGUAGGAACUGGAGGGUCGGUCAGAGUUUGGUCAUGACAUUCUAUGGGUAUGUCACCUCCUUGGUAUUGCUUCAAUCUUUGUUCGUUUACCACGAAUGGAUUAUGGGAGUUGUUUCGGAUUUCAACUGCUCCAGAUUUCAGGAUUUUGGACACCUCAAAGGGGCCUGUCC